UCGCAAGAGGGAUCUAUGGUUAGUGGCGCACGGGUGAGUAACGCGUAGGUAAUCUGCCUUCAGGGCCGGAACAACCAUUGGAAACGAUGGCUAAUGCCGGAUAAGACCACGUAUAGCAAUGUAUGGGGUAAAAGGAGUAAUUCACCUGGAGAUGAGCCUGCGUCCUAUCAGGUAGUUGGUAAGGUAAUGGCUUACCAAGCCUAAGACGGGUAGCCGGUCUGAGAGGAUGAACGGCCACACUGGAACUGAGACACGGUCCAGACUCCUACGGGAGGCAGCAGUGAGGAAUUUUGCGCAAUGGGGGAAACCCUGACGCAGCGACGCCGCGUGGAGGAAGAAGGCCUUCGGGUUGUAAACUCCUUUUGUAGGGAAAGAUGAUGACGGUACCUUACGAAUAAGCCACGGCUAACUCUGUGCCAGCAGCCGCGGUAAGACAGAGGUGGCAAGCGUUGCUCGGAAUUACUGGGCUUAAAGGGUGCGUAGGCGGUUAGAUAAG
rnacentral:rRNA from 1 species